rnacentral:lncRNA from 1 species
GGCUCUCAAUAUAUUGAUGAACACACUUGCUUUUUUGGAUAUACUGCUUUUAUUUUUUUGUCUUUUUCAAGGAACACCUGGUUGCAGAUAUAAAACAAGAAUAGUGAUGGCCAUGCUGCCUGUCUCCAAAAACGCUAGAUGAUUAAAACAAAUGAAGAACUGUGGCAGUAUAGUUGUAAAUGUUUUAUGAUUGGCAAUCAUCAGCUUUACCACCGAGUUAGGAUCCUUUCAAGUUGGAGGGACUUGACGGUCCACUUUAUGAACGCAGCCAUUCAUAUAGUGCAGGACGGGCCAUGAUCCAUCAAAUUUUAUAUAUUAAAAGGCACUGUGUUGUAGGCAGCAUGAGAUCAAUAUAUCAUAGAUAUGCAGAUGGCUGUGACAGUGGAACCAGACUCCACCCAUUGGUAUCACAUCAUAUGGUACAAUGAUUGGACUUGGAUCAGCAUUUGGUUGGGAAGUCCUUUGACUCUAUCCCUACAAGCUUCGACUUGCAUUAGUUGUCAAAAGGCCAAUAAUCCAACCUGCUAGUUGAUCGUAUGUAUCAUUUAAAAAAAAAAAGGUGCUCAGUAACAGAAAUCUCCAUAAAAUGGUUUGCACAGGUGAGGAUAACUCAGCCAUCUCAUCACUAACGGUGAGAGAAUUAUGCCCCAUUUGUGCAAUUGUUUUGAGUCAGAUCUGUGUUAUUUUAGCAUUUAUAACAUUUGUUCAAGCCAGACACCCAUCUCUGGAAGAAAAAAAAAGAAAAAAAGAUAGAUGUUGCAAAGAUAGAAUUCGGCUCGCUUGUACGUACUUUGGUCACACAUAUUACUAUAAUUUUUGACGGUUAACAGUAAACUUUUCUUUCUUUAUGUUUUUUGAAGGGAGAUGAAGACGCAGACCAUUGUCCUAAUACAAGCGUCACUUAUGACAACUAAAACCAUCCAUACUCCAUUUAAUGCCAUGGAGCUUGCAUUAGACUGAAACCAUGCUUGGCGUGCUCCAUGUUUCACUAUAGACAACUCCAAAGAUCUUUUUUGAGAAGGCUGUCAUUAACCUGCCUGUAGAAUAUACACCCACCCCAAUCCACAGUCAAAAUGUGACAAAACUAUCCAAGAACAGAACAAAUAGACUCCCAGCAGACUGCCCCGGAAUAUUUGGUAACUUACGGAGCUAUCCAAUCCAUAACACUAUUAACCUAUCUGUAGACGCACUUGGCUUC